GAUGAACGCUGGCGGCGUGCCUAAUACAUGCAAGUCGAACGAACAGACGAGGAGCUUGCUCCUCUGACGUUAGCGGCGGACGGGUGAGUAACACGUGGAUAACCUACCUAUAAGACUGGGAUAACUUCGGGAAACCGGAGCUAAUACCGGAUAAUAUAUUGAACCGCAUGGUUCAAUAGUGAAAGACGGUUUUGCUGUCACUUAUAGAUGGAUCCGCGCCGCAUUAGCUAGUUGGUAAGGUAACGGCUUACCAAGGCGACGAUGCGUAGCCGACCUGAGAGGGUGAUCGGCCACACUAGAACUGAGACACGGUCCAGACUCCUACGGGAGGCAGCAGUAGGGAAUCUUCCGCAAUGGGAGAAAGCCUGACGGAGCAACGCCGCGUGAGUGAUGAAGGUCUUCGGAUCGUAAAACUCUGUUAUUAGGGAAGAACAAAUGUGUAAGUAACUAUGCACGUCUUGACGGUACCUAAUCAGAAAGCCACGGCUAACUACGUG
rnacentral:rRNA from 1 species